UAAUUGCGUUAACGAACGAGACCUCAGCCUGCUAACUAGCUAUGCGGAGGUGACCCUUCGUGGCCAGCUUCUUAGAGGGACUAUGGCCGCUUAGGCCACGGAAGUUUGAGGCAAUAAC
rnacentral:rRNA from 1 species